UACAGAGGGUGCAAGCGUUAAUCGGAAUUACUGGGCGUAAAGCGUGCGUAGACGGUUAUGUAAGUCGGGUGUGAAAGCCCCGGGCUCAACCUGGGAAUGCCAUUCGAGACUGCAUAGCUAGGGUGCGGAAGAGGGAAGCGGAAUUUCCGGUGUAGCGGUGAAAUGCGUAGAUAUCAAGAGGAACACCUGAGGUGAAGACGGGUUGCUGGGCCGACACUGACGCUGAUGCGCGAAAGCCAGGGGAGCAAACGGG
rnacentral:rRNA from 1 species